UACGUAGGGUGCGAGCGUUAAUCGGAAUUACUGGGCGUAAAGCGUGCGCAGGCGGUUCGUUGUGUCGGCGGUGAAAGCCCCGGGCUUAACCUGGGAAUGGCCGUUGAAACUGGCGAACUGGAGUGUGGCAGAGGGGGAUGGAAUUCCGCGUGUAGCAGUGAAAUGCGUAGAGAUGCGGAGGAACACCGAUGGCGAAGGCAGCCCCCUGGGCUAACACUGACGCUGAGGCGCGAAAGCUAGGGGAGCAAACAGG
rnacentral:rRNA from 1 species